UGGCGGCAUGCCUUACACAUGCAAGUCGAACGCGAAAGGGGGGCAACUCCUGAGUAGAGUGGCGCACGGGUGAGUAACACAUCGGAACGUAUCCUGAAGUGGGGGACAACCAGUCGAAAGACUGGCUAAUACCGCAUACGCCCUACGGGGGAAAGCGGGGGAUCGCAAGACCUCGCGCUUGUGGAGCGGCCGAUGUCCGAUUAGCUAGUUGGUGGGGUAAGAGCUUACCAAGGCGACGAUCGGUAGCUGGUCUGAGAGGACGAUCAGCCACACUGGGACUGAGACACGGCCCAGACUCCUACGGGAGGCAGCAGUGGGGAAUUUUGGACAAUGGGGGCAACCCUGAUCCAGCCAUGCCGCGUGCGGGAAGAAGGCCUUCGGGUUGUAAACCGCUUUCGGCCGGAACGAAAUCGCACCCGUGAAUAGCGGGUGUGGAUGACGGUACCGGAAGAAGAAGCACCGGCUAACUACGUGCCAGCAGCCGCGGUAAUACGUAGGGUGCGAGCGUUAAUCGGAAUUACUGGGCGUAAAGCGUGCGCAGGCGGUUCCAUAAGCCAGAUGUGAAAGCCCCGGGCUCAACCUGGGAAUGGCGUUUGGUACUGUGAGGCUAGAGUG
rnacentral:rRNA from 1 species